rnacentral:rRNA from 1 species
CCUACGGGAGGCAGCAGUAGGGAAUCUUCCGCAAUGGACGAAAGUCUGACGGAGCAACGCCGCGUGAACGAUGAAGGCCUUCGGGUCGUAAAGUUCUGUUGUUAGGGAAGAACAAGUGCUAGUUGAAUAAGCUGGCACCUUGACGGUACCUAACCAGAAAGCCACGGCUAACUACGUGCCAGCAGCCGCGGUAAUACGUAGGUGGCAAGCGUUGUCCGGAAUUAUUGGGCGUAAAGCGCGCGCAGGCGGUUUCUUAAGUCUGAUGUGAAAGCCCCCGGCUCAACCGGGGAGGGUCAUUGGAAACUGGGAAACUUGAGUGCAGAAGAGGAAAGUGGAAUUCCAAGUGUAGCGGUGAAAUGCGUAGAGAUUUGGAGGAACACCAGUGGCGAAGGCGACUUUCUGGUCUGUAACUGACGCUGAGGCGCGAAAGCGUGGGGAGCAAACAGGAUUAGAUACCCUGGUAGUCCACGCUGUAAACGAUGAGUGCUAAGUGUUAGAGGGUUUCCGCCUUUAGUGCUGAAGUUAACGCAUUAAGCACUCCGCCUGGGGAGUACGGUCGCAAGACUGAAACUCAAAGGAAUUGACGG